rnacentral:lncRNA from 1 species
CAGGAGCUCAGGAAAGGUCUCAAGGGGAGUGUAGCAGGAGUCCGAGCAUCCCCAGCAGGCCCACCAUGCCGGGCAGGGCCCCUGCUCCGACCGUGACCUCCAGGCGGGAAUUGGCUGGGCCAGAGGUCAGCGCAUCCCCUCCCCCGCCCCCUCCAUCCCCCCUCACCCCCCGCCAGGGGCGCACCACCGCGAGCUGCCCAGGCCAGACGGCCGGCUGCCCCAGGCGCUGCCUUCGUUGCGGAGGCUGCUGCCCGCUCCCCGAGCUGUUCCUGGGCCCGCUGGGCCAGGGCCACCCUGGCAAGUCUGGGGGGGGGGGGUUUAGAAGGCGAGCUUACUGACCAUAAGACAUGAACCCCCGAAAUCCGCUCCCUUCCUCUUCAUUAUUUAGAGGAAGACCGCGGAAACAAAUCACUUCUACCACUUAAAGAAGCGAGGAAACCUUUAUAAGAAUCCAUCGCUCCCAAAUCGAUGGGUGAAUAUUUGCUGGGAAUUUGUUCCAGAGGAAUAAAUAAGGAGCGUGAGUGUAUUAAAUGCAAACGGGGGGACACGGUGGUGUUUUUCUUCAUUGAUUAAUGACCUCUAAAAUAAAACAAGUGGGAAGAGGAGCCGGGAUCGAUAAAUUAACUACCCAAAUUCAUCAUUUUCUCGAGCAAUUUUCCCCCCCGAAAAUUAUCCUUAGGAAGCCCAUUGUACCCUUAGCUGGGAGGAAGGAAGGCAGUGGGAGGACAGAGCAGGGAGGGGGUGGCAGGAAGGGGCAGGAAAGGAAGAAGAGGACUGUGUCCUGGAGACCUUCUAUCUGAUUUCGUUUGACAUACAAUCUUAAAGUUUGCCUUUCAUAUUAAUUAUUUUUUUCCUGAUGCAGGAAGGGAACAAAUGGUCGGUUGCCUUUGACAGGACUCCAAUAAAGGAUUCAGCAGCUCUCCUCUCUGCCCUCGGCACUCCUGCUUCUAGGUUUAAGGAUCGGGAAAGAGCCAGCUAACUGAGGACCUUGGAAUGCAGGCAAAAAGGGCAAAUCUCUGGAAAGAGACUACCCCAUCGCCGAGAAGUUCCCAAAGGAGGAGCUUUGCAACUUGCCAGACCUGGAAUCUAAAAGAAGCUCCACGCCCAAGGGAUCACCUCAGACAGCACCUGUUCACUACACUUGAAAUGCAGCCGAACCCUCCAGCUCCUUUCAGCCUGGUCACCCAACAGCUGUCACUCAAACAAUGCCUCUCAGCCACCCCAGGCCUGAUUUGGAUUUGACCUACUGACCUCGAGAUACAGAGUUGUGAAGGUGGGUGCUUUGGGGUUCUCAGCUCCCUUCUCCCUGACAAAAAGGAGAGAGGAUCAAGUUGAUGUGAGUAUUUGAGUGACUGUAUGUGUAUGUGAAGAUAGAGGACCACUGUGAUUUGUCCCCAAAGUCUGAGAAGGGUGUUAAGAAGAAUCAGGGAUGAUGUAGUCUGGCUUUAUUACUGAGGUCUCUUUCAACUGCAGGUGGCAGAAAUUAAACAGGUAACAGCUUUUUUUUUUUUUUUUUUGUAAAGUCUUCGAUAAUAUCCAUAUGAAAAACCAGGUUAUGAAGUUUCCGGUAUAAACGGAUUCAGGGGUCCAAACAACAUCAUGAAGUCUG